rnacentral:rRNA from 1 species
GAUGAACGCUGGCGGCGUGCUUAACACAUGCAAGUCGAACGAUGAAGCCCAGCUUGCUGGGUGGAUUAGUGGCGAACGGGUGAGUAACACGUGAGCAACCUGCCCCUGACUCUGGGAUAAGCGCUGGAAACGGCGUCUAAUACUGGAUAUGUCCCGUCACCGCAUGGUGUGCGGGUGGAAAGAUUUUUCGGUUGGGGAUGGGCUCGCGGCCUAUCAGCUUGUUGGUGAGGUAAUGGCUCACCAAGGCGUCGACGGGUAGCCGGCCUGAGAGGGUGACCGGCCCCACUGGGACUGCGACACGGCCCAGACUCCUACGGGAGGCAGCAGUGGGGAAUAUUGCACAAUGGGCGAAAGCCUGAUGCAGCAACGCCGCGUGAGGGAUGACGGCCUUCGGGUUGUAAACCUCUUUUAGCAGGGAAGAAGCGAAAGUGACGGUACCUGCAGAAAAAGCACCGGCUAACUACGUGCCAGCAGCCGCCGUAAUAC